rnacentral:RNase_P_RNA from 1 species
CGAGCCGAGCGGGCGGUCGCGUCGGAACCCCUUGGGGUUCCGCCGAGGAACGUCCGGGCUCCACAGGGCAAGGUGGUGGGUAACGCCCACCCGGGGUGACCCGCGGGACAGUGCCACAGAAAACAGACCGCCGGGAGCCGAAAGGCACCUGGUAAGGGUGAAACGGUGGUGUAAGAGACCACCAGCGUCCAGGGUGACCUGGACGGCUAGGUAAACCCCACCUGGAGCAAGGUCAAGAUGGAGCCGCCGCCAGGCGGCUCUGCGCGGAUGUUCGAGGGCGGCCCGCCCGAGUCCGCGGGUAGACCGCACGAGGCCGACGGCAACGCCGGCCCUAGAUGGAUGACCGCCUCCCGGCGGGCCGCGAGGCCCACCGGAGACAGAACCCGGCGUACAGCUCGACUCGUCUG